rnacentral:rRNA from 1 species
ACGGUACCUACAGAAGAAGCACCGGCUAACUACGUGCCAGCAGCCGCGGUAAUACGUAGGGUGCGAGCGUUGUCCGGAAUUAUUGGGCGUAAAGAGCUUGUAGGCGGUUUGUCGCGUCUGCUGUGAAAAUCCGGGGCUCAACCCCGGACUUGCAGUGGGUACGGGCAGACUAGAGUGUGGUAGGGGAGACUGGAAUUCCUGGUGUAGCGGUGAAAUGCGCAGAUAUCAGGAGGAACACCGAUGGCGAAGGCAGGUCUCUGGGCCACUACUGACGCUGAGAAGCGAAAGCGUGGGGAGCGAACAGGAUUAGAUACCCUGGUAGUCCACGCCGUAAACGUUGGGAACUAGGUGUGGGUCUCAUUCCACGAGAUCCGUGCCGCAGCUAACGCAUUAAGUUCCCCGCCUGGGGAGUACGGCCGCAAGGCUAAAACUCAAAGGAAUUGACGGGGGCCCGCACAAGCGGCGGAGCAUGUGGAUUAAUUCGAUGCAACGCGAAGAACCUUACCAAGGCUUGACAUAUACCGGAAACACCCAGAGAUGGGUGCCCCGCAAGGUC